UACGAAGGGGCUAGCGUUGCUCGGAAUCACUGGGCGUAAAGGGUGCGUAGGCGGGUCUUUAAGUCAGGGGUGAAAUCCUGGAGCUCAACUCCAGAACUGCCUUUGAUACUGAGGAUCUUGAGUACGGGAGAGGUGAGUGGAACUGCGAGUGUAGAGGUGAAAUUCGUAGAUAUUCGCAAGAACACCAGUGGCGAAGGCGGCUCACUGGCCCGUAACUGACGCUGAGGCACGAAAGCGUGGGGAGCA
rnacentral:rRNA from 1 species